ACAAACUUGGUCAUUUAGAGGAAGUAAAAGUCGUAACAAGGUUUCCGUAGGUGAACCUGCGGAAGGAUCAUUAUCGAGUUUUGACUGGGUUGUAGCUGGCCUCCCGAGGCAUGUGCACGCCCUGCUCAUCCACUCUACACCUGUGCACUUACUGUGGGCUUCAGACGUCGUGAAGCGGGCUCCUUAUGGAGCUUGUAGAGCGUGUCUGUGCCUGCGUUUACCACAAACUCUAUAAAGUAUUAGAAUGUGUAUUGCGAUGUAACGCAUCUAUGUACAACUUUCAGCAACGGAUCUCUUGGCUCUCGCAUCGAUGAAGAACGCAGC
rnacentral:misc_RNA from 1 species